GUAAAACUUGAUAACUUCAAAUUUCUUUGUAAGAUUUAUCAAGCCAGGUGAAGUCUGCGCUUCUUUGUUGCAGUCUUAUGUGCACAUGGAUUUGUUGCAGUCAUCCAGUGAAAGGUGUGAUUAAAUUGAGCUGUUGCAUGCAGUCUUUGGUGCUGAUGUUCUCCUGGAGUGUGGGAGAGUCCCAUGCUUCAAGUCUUCUGUGAUCAGCCAUAUCUGAGUUGACGCUGGAUCAUGCUGCAUUGUGGUUGCCAAAAUGUUGAACAUCUAGUAGAACUGCAAGAAGACUCCUUGAAAUGGUUUAUGUUUACGUAGUAGUGAUGUUGAUGUUGCUGUCCAAUAUGGCAUGUUGUUGCAGCCUAUACUGGUGAAAGUUUGUUUGCAUCGAGUUAUGCUGUUGCUGUUCCUUGGUGCCGGACUGUUGGUGUUGUGCACAAAAGUCACAUCCAGUUUUAAUUGUUAUUUGUCUCUAUGCAAUUAACCGUUUAUAUGUUCAGAAUGAAAAAAAUAGUAAUACGGGGAAUUUUUACGUUGAACAAAUAAUACAUAUGCCUUCGCGAUUGGGAAAUGAGUUAGGAGGAGAUUGGGGGGAGGGGGCAAUUGAUUUUCAUUAGCUAGAAGAAGGCGUAGUUUGUUUUAAUAAGGUUGACAUAAAAUCCUUCGUCUAUCACAUCCAU